AUGGGUGGACGCGAAUCCGGAGGAAUGAAGAUGAGGAAGGUUAUGUGCCAACAUCCUAUGUUGAAGUCUAUUUGGACAAAAAUGCCAAAGAUUCCUAAAGGUGUUUGUGCUGGUGCAAGAAGCUGGGGCGAGCUUGUCACAGAAGGAGAAACAAAUGGUCUGUUUACCCUGCAGGCAGUUAAAAUUUGCCCAUACAAACAGACUCCUGGUCUGGUGUGGAGUCAGCACUUGAAAAAACUGAAAUCUAAAUUCCAUCCCAACAUUACUCAGCCGCUUGCUCUUUUUUAUGGCAUGUUACUUGUGGCUCAGACUAACUUACUGACGUUUCCCAUUGUUCUGCCAACUGGGCAUUGCCCUUCUGUAGAGCAUAACCAACAAACCCCACCCACCCCCACCACUAUCUUACCCACAACCAGACACAAACGGCUGGCUGCACUUGGAUGCAAAGAGUAACCAGAGAAUCCCAUGCAUGUGCUAGUUGGGAUUCUAUCCUCCCGUGGCCCUCAGCCCAUCUGAAUGUCUGCACUGGUCCAUCAGCAUUUCACAUGGUGCCUUUAGUGCUAAUCCUGCAGGCAGACUCAUCAGACAGCUAGGGAAGGAGGUACAUACAAGUGGAAAGCCAGUUAACAGGAACAAUAUGACAGCAGCUGGACUGACCCCCGAAUCAGAUUAUGUUAAACUUUACACACCCAUUAUUCCAUAUUACACCUUCCCCAAAAGAUCCCAAAUGUCAAUCAGCCUUUUUACUUUUUACAAAUGGCUGGUGCUCCCUCGAAGCAUUCAAUCCCCGUUGGCUUUUGCUGUGUCCUGCGAGCCUAGCAACUCAUGAGUGUCUGCUUGCUUUCCUGCUCACUCUCACAAACAAACACACACAAUGGAAUUUUGGUUUAAAGUCACAUUUUCCCCCUCACCAAGACCUCCAUUUGAAUCUUGUUUCAGCCUGCAUGCUCGCCCUGUUGCCUUGCCUGCGCAUACCUUCCUAACGGCUCGUUCUUCUGAAUCUCUUUCCAGUUUUUUAGCAUUUCAGACCUGCCUUCUCCCUUUGCAUGAGCUCCUGUGCACUCUCAUCAGUGUGAACAGCAGAAAUUACGUUAAAAAAAAAACGGCAUUCCCCUCCCCUCCUCCAUCUCGCCACGGACUGGACUUUUGCCCAGGCGUUUCAGACAGGAACCCGGACUUAUCCAUCAUCAAGUAUCAACCAUCCUGUUGUCAUGUGAUCUUAUUUAAAGGAGAAACAUUUUGAUGGUGGUGCUGUACCUAGUGCAGAGGAAGUUAUUUUGCUUCCAAAUAUCAAGUGAUCUGGAGCCAAACUCCCUAAAGAGGGGUCAGGUUGCUUUCUAAGCUCCUAAAACUGAGUUUCUUGCUCUCCUUCUCCCAAAAUCUUCACAUAACUAGGCUAUUGCAGAAAUCAGAUACCUCCUCAAACCUUGUCUAACAGCAGCCAGUGGGUAAUAAGAUCAGCUUUCCAAGACCUGUCUUAGUAGCGGGGGGAAAUCCCAGCUCUUAAGAAAUAUCCUGGAUUUUUUGUAAAAGGCCCGGAAUAAGAGAGAAUUAAAAUGGAUGCCAUCAUGGCUAGUGGCCCUAAAAUGAGACCUGUCAGCUUUGGUUUGCAGGCAGGCCUGUGCAUGUUGCAAUGCUGUACCCUGUUCUUGUGAGCAGGGACAAUAGUAAAAUAUAGUAUCCAAGAAUUGUGCAUUCUUCUGUAGGGUAUCACCUAGCUCUUCCCAUUUUAGGAUGAGGUGGUUGUCUUUAAGGUGGGUUAAAUGUUGUGUUCACAGUUUUGUCCCUCUUAAAAUAAUAAUAAUAAAAAUCCUCAUUUUUAAUAGCA
ensembl:lncRNA